CAGAGUUCAUGCCCUUACGGGUAGAUCUCCCACCCUGUGUUAUUAUUACCUUUGUUGCUUUGGCGGGCCGUCAGGCUUCGGUCAGGCUACCGGCUCCGGCUGGUAUGUGCCCGCCAGAGGACCCCAAACUCUGAAUAUUAUUGUCGUCUGAGUACUAUAUAAUAGUUA
rnacentral:misc_RNA from 1 species